ACGGAGGGGACUAGCGUUGUUCGGAAUUACUGGGCGUAAAGCGCACGUAGGCGGAUUGGAAAGUUAGAGGUGAAAUCCCAGGGCUCAACCCUGGAACUGCCUUUAAAACUCCCAGUCUUGAGUUCGAGAGAGGUAAGUGGAAUUCCAAGUGUAGAGGUGAAAUUCGUAGAUAUUUGGAGGAACACCAGUGGCGAAGGCGGCUUACUGGCUCGAUACUGACGCUGAGGUGCGAAAGCGUGGGGAGCAAACAGG
rnacentral:rRNA from 1 species